rnacentral:rRNA from 1 species
UACAGAGGGUGCAAGCGUUAAUCGGAAUUACUGGGCGUAAAGCGUGCGCAGGCGGUUUUGUAAGCCAGAUGUGAAAUCCCCGGGCUUAACCUGGGAACUGCAUUUGUGACUGCAUCGCUGGAGUGCGGCAGAGGGGGAUGGAAUUCCGCGUGUAGCAGUGAAAUGCGUAGAUAUGCGGAGGAACACCGAUGGCGAAGGCAAUCCCCUGGGCCUGCACUGACGCUCAUGCACGAAAGCGUGGGGAGCAAACAGG